CCAAAGUUUAACCUGCCCACUGAUAUAUUAAAUGGCCGCAGUAUAUUAACUGUGCAAAGGUAGCAUAAUCAUUAGUCUUUUAAUUGAAGGCUGGAAUGAAUGGUUGGACGAGAUAUUUACUGUUUCAUAUUUAUUUAUAUUAGAAUUUUAUUUUUUAGUAAAAAAGCUAAAAUAAUAUUAAAAGACGAGAAGACCCUAUAAAUCUUUAUAUUUAAUUAAAUUUUAUAUAUUAGAAAUUAAAUUAUAUUUAUUAAAUUAAAUAUUUUAUUGGGGUGAUAUUAAAAUUUAAUUAGGGUUUUAAUAUUAAAAACAUUAAUUUAUGAAUUAUUGAUCCAAUAAUAUUGAUUAUUAGAAUAACUCUUCUUUAGGGAUAACAGCGUAAUUUUUUUGGAGAGUUCAUAUUGAUAAAAAAUAUUGCGACCUCGAUGUUGGAUUAAGAAAUAAAUUUCGGCCAUUUAAAUAUAUCAGUGGGCAGCUUAAACUUUAAAAAGAAUUGAGAU
rnacentral:rRNA from 1 species